rnacentral:tRNA from 1 species
UUGGGAUGUAAUCAUUAUAUUGAUAUUUCAUUUACAAUGAAAAAGUGCUAUGUAGGCCAUUCUAAU